AGAUUGAACGCUGGCGGCAGGCCUAACACAUGCAAGUCGAGCGGUAGAGAGGUGCUUGCAUCUCUUGAGAGCGGCGGACGGGUGAGUAAUGCCUAGGAAUCUGCCUAGUGGUGGGGGAUAACGUUCGGAAACGGACGCUAAUACCGCAUACGCCCUACGGGGGAAAGGGGGGAUCGCAAGACCUCUCACUAUUGGAGCGGCCGAUAUCAGAUUAGCUAGUUGGUGAGGUAAAGGCCCACCAAGGCGACGAUCUGUAGCUGGUUUGAGAGGACGACCAGCCACACUGGGACUGAGACACGGCCCAGACUCCUACGGGAGGCAGCAGUGGGAAUUUUGGACAAUGGGGGAAACCCUGAUCCAGCCAUCCCGCGUGUGCGAUGAAGGCCUUGGUUGUAAGCACUUUGCAGGAAGAACGCGUGCCGUAAUAACGGACGUCGACUGACGUAC
rnacentral:rRNA from 1 species